AGCGAACGCUGGCGGCAGGCCUAACACAUGCAAGUCGAACGAAGCCUUCGGGCUUAGUGGCGGACGGGUGAGUAACACGUGGGAACGUACCUUUUGGUUCGGAAUAACGCAGAGAAAUUUGCGCUAAUACCGAAUGAGCCCUAAGGGGGAAAGAUUUAUCGCCGAAAGAGCGGCCCGCGUUGGAUUAGGUAGUUGGUGUGGUAAAGGCGCACAAAGCCUACGAUCCAUAGCUGGUCUGAGAGGAUGAUCAGCCACACUGGGACUGAGACACGGCCCAGACUCCUACGGGAGGCAGCAGUGGGGAAUCUUGCGCAAUGGGCGAAAGCCUGACGCAGCCAUGCCGCGUGAAUGAUGAAGGUCUUAGGAUUGUAAAAUUCUUUUACCAGGGACGAUAAUGACGGUACCUGGAGAAAAAGCCCCGGCUAACUUCGUGCCAGCCGCCGCCGUAAAAC
rnacentral:rRNA from 1 species